CCAGCUUCAUUCCAGCACCUUUAAAGCCACAACACACACACACAGACACUCCACACUGAAGUCACUGACAAGGUGCGAAGACACAAGAGAGUGUUCAUAGACUACUGUGCGGUUGGAUGUUAUCACAAAUCAGCGGUGAACAGCCAUUUUGUUUGGAAAAGCCACAAGAAGACAUAACUAAAGUAAUGGAGUCAUCUGGGUGUCGACCUGUCCCAGCUGCCGAAGUUGGCAGAGGUAGAGGGAGAAUCAGAGGGAGAGGAAGAAUCACAGGGAGAGGAAGAUGGAGAGGGAGAGGAAGAUGGAGAGGGAUAAUCCGAGGAAGACUUGAGUCACCACACCAACAUGCUGAGAGUGGUUUUAGAAGACACAGAAGUCGUUCCAAAGACAACUCUGAUGGGUCCAGAUAUUAUUUCAGUUUCACAAAACAGUGGACUGGAAGAAACCAAGCUUACAGACCUUCCCCGACUUCCCCGAGCUACAACCCGAUGUCCCCCAGCCUGACGUCGCCAUACUACCACCCCACCUCUCCCCCCUACAACCCGACGUCCCCCAGCUACACACCCAGCUCGCCCUCCUACUCGCCGGUCUCUCCAUCCUACUACCCCACCUCUCCAAGCUACACCCCGACGUCCCCCAGCUUCUCCCCCACCUCGCCCUCCUACUUGCCGACCUCUCCAUCCUACUCCCCUUCUAGCCCAGGGUACCCCCCACAGUCUCCCACUUACACCCCAAGCUCACCCUCCCACACCCCCAGCUAACCCUCCUACUCCCCGACUUCCCCCAAAUACACCUCCACCUCCUACAGUCCAAGUUCCCCAGAGUACACCCUAACGUCCCCCAAGUACUCCCCGACUUCUCCCAAAUACUCCCCAACCUCGCCCAAAUACAGCCCCACC